rnacentral:lncRNA from 1 species
GUAGAUGAGAGGUUGCCACACACACACAGUAUUAGUAGUUUUUAUUAUUUUGUUAUAGUACUAUGGUUUGUACUUUAUUUUGACGAUCUUACUACAUUAUUGAUCUCGAUUGUACGACAUUUUUUAUAUAUAUUUUUAUUUUAUUUUUGUAUAGAAUUUUUGGUCAAUCUAGAAUUGUGUACGUCUAUUUAUUUAUUUUCGAUCGUACAUAUUACUUCAUCUGAACACAUAUAAACAAUUUAUAGCAUGGAAUACCUAUUCUGAUACAUUUCGGAGUUGUAUCUCCG